rnacentral:rRNA from 1 species
UCCUGCCCGGUGACCCUCAACGGCCGCAGUACCCUGACUGUGCAAAGGUAGCAUAAUCACUUGCCUUUUAAUUGAAGGCUGGAAUGAAUGGACUCACGAAAAUAACCCUGUCUCUAAACUAAAAAUAAAAACUAGACUUCAAGUGAAAAUACUUGAAUAAAAAUAAAGGACAAAAAGACCCUAUAGAGCUGCAUUUACCGAAACCUAUAAUGAACUAAACACUACAUUUAUUUUUAAGUAAAUUUUGUUGGGGCGACAAAGGAACAUAAAAAUCUUCCUUAGCUACAAAGAAAACAAUUCUCACAAUAGAUCCACUAAUGAUCAAAGGAAAAAGCUACCUUAGGGAUAACAGGCUAAUCUCUCUAGAGAGUUCAAAUUGACAGAGAGGAUUGGCACCUCGAUGUUGGCUUAAGAUAUCCCCUAGGUGCAGAAGCCUAGAAAGGUUGGUUUGUUCAACCAUUAAAAUCUUACGUGAUCUGAGUCAGACCGGA